rnacentral:lncRNA from 1 species
AAAGAAAAAAGUGCACUAACUAAUCCUAUGUUUUACUAUCAUGACUUUGCUUAGUGGUGGGUAGUAUCAGAUAUGGAGUCUUGUGGCAAUUGUACAAGAGCAAUAAUUUUAAAGCACAAAAAUAUUAAAGAUUCUUCAAGGACCUAAUAUAGCGAAUGAGUGAAUGUUGAUUUACAGAUCCAAAAUAUGCCCUGGAGUCUUGGAAAGCCUUUUGUUUUGCUUCUCUAUUAGCUACUGAUAGAACAACUGUACUUGGAAAUUACCAUACUAAAUUAUUCACGUAAAAAAAAAAAGGUUAAAAGGUUUUAUUCCAGCACAAGUAAGGAAAACAAAAUAAAAACACAGAACCCUGUUUUAUUCUGAAGAAAGUCUCCAGAAGGGACAUUUUGGAACAAUUAAUCUGGACUAACUCUUCUGAUUAAGUGCAGUGGCUUUUUGUAUUAAAAACUCUUCUUUUUUAACCAAUUAAAAAAAAAAAAAAGACAGAGAGAGAUGGUGAAAAGAACAGGUUGGGUCUUAAAAAGAGCCAAGAUUGACUCAAAUGAGGCAAGGAAGCUGAACAGAAGGGAUCAGAGUAUGUUUGGUCUCUUUCAAAUUCACAGGACAGACAGAAAUCUCAAAGAGAUCUUUCCUUGCAAAUGUCUCUGCAUGGCUUACAGGACAGAAUAUGAGAAUAAUCCAGCACAAGACAGUGGGGACUGAAGAGGAAACCCGAAUCUAUUUACCAUUAAGAAGCCCUGUACUGAACUGACAGGAACAGAAUGUAACACUGCUCCAAAGUCUUGGCAUGCCAGUGUUGCCUUUGUGUAUUUGAAGUAUUUCCACUGGUCUUCGGAGUCCUGUCAUCCACCAAUGUGGAAUCCACAACUCAGAGCUGUGACUAUCCUUUGGAAGGAACAGACAUGACAACCAUCGUCUUAACUGCACUGUGUCAGAGGAACCAUGAGUUUGGCAGCAAUCCAUACCCAGUGCAUGGAGGACCUUCAGAUGAAUUUUUUCUGCUACAGUUUAACUUGCCACGUUUAAUUUGCAAGUAUCAAGGUAAGGAGCCAAGCAAGUUUGCAUUUAUAUUCAAACUCAUUUUCUACCUUAAUAAUUUGUGCAGUUGAUAUGUUUAUAUUUGCUGUAGAACAUCGGGUUUCAUUUCUAAACCUUGCCUUGAGUGCUGGCCAUAAGCCUACCACGAACUUCAAACCAUUUCUCUACAUAAAACAGCAUGCUCUUUUAGGACAUAGGGAAGGAAGAAUAUAACCUUACACCAGUCAGCAGGUGGCUUGCAUUAUUAGUCAACUCUAGCUCCAGCAGAGCUGGAAAACACAGCUGUCCUGCAUAUGCCAUGAAAGCUUGCUUUACUCCGGGACCACAGUACUUGUGUUCAGCUCUCUGUUCUCUCUGUGGCAUUUUUCUGUUUGUCACUGAUUCUGAAAACUGAACUUACAGAAAAGCUUUGUGGUCUCAAAAACCAAUACUUAACUGUGUUCAAAUACUUUUUCAUAGAACAUGCAUUAGAGAACUGGGCUUUUCUGUACUCUGUUAAAUUAUGUGUUUGUUUAUGUGACAUAGCACUAAUCAGAAACUGUUUUUCCCCUUUAGGAAGUUGUGACUUUCUAAAGUGAGGGGAAAAAAUGGAAAUAGUUAUUAGAAAUUGUACUUACAAAUAUCUUCACAGUUCAAUUUGCUAAUUUUUAGUUUGGGUAUUGAGUUAAAAAAAAAAAAACAAAAGUUUAAUUUGAAAAGCAAUCAUACAUGUCAUUUGUCUCAAAUGCAGCACAAACUUAAUGCGGAUGUAUCUGAAUUGUUCAUUUAGUCAGUUUUAAAUCUUAUUUAAAAAAAAAAUACACUGCUGUGAAAUGAUGGAAAUCAUUCUGAUUAUAAUCAGGAGGCUGUCAGCCCUGUAUUUCCAGACAGGCUCAUCACAGCACACAGCCUGUCUUGUGGAAGGAGAACUGUAGCAGCAUGAAGUGGCAGAAGAAAAAAAUAUUUUCUUUGUCAGUUGAGUGUUAUGUAUAGGAGCGGAAUAUGUAUAGAUAGAACUUGCUCCAGCAAUUUUGUGAGAUUUGAAAAAGAACAAUUUCCUAAGGUCUUUCAUGUCUAGACUUGUUUGCUUGUUUGUUGAAUGAAUUUUUUGUUUUAUUGAUAUUAUGAAGGCUGCUACAAAUGUAAUGGUACUGGCUUUAAAGUAAGUUGCAUGAUUGGAGGUUCUGGUUGGAUAUUGGGAAAAAUAUUUCCCAGAGGUGUGAGGCAUUGGAACAGGCUGCUCAUGGAGGUGGAAGAGUUACCGACCCUGGAGCUGUCCAAGAAAAAGGUAGGUGUCCCACUGAGUGACGUGGUGCAGUGGUGAUGGAUUGACAGUUGGACUAUAUGAUCUUAGUGGUCUUUCUAACCUUGAUGAUUCUGUAAUGCUUCCUAUUUAAUGAUGUUGACCUAUGAUAUCAGAGGCAAAUGUUGGUAGUAUGGCAGUAGAAAGGCAUCUAGCAUGGAAGUGCUGAUGAAGCAAAAGGUGUGUCAUUGAAUUCCUCCAGUCGGAGAAAAUGGCACCCUUGACAUUCACUGACACUUGGUGAGUGUUUAUGGAGAUCAAAGAGUGCAUGUGAGCACAGGGAGGUGGUGGCUGGCAUGUUUCUGCAGUGGCAACAGUGGGUCACUUCUGCUAGUGCAAAUUUGUAUGAGUGUGGCAUGCAGGUUCUUGUUCAGUAGCUAUGCAUUUUCACUGGCGGAGGUGCUAUGCUGAAAAACUGUUUUUUAACUGAGACUUUGCCCCAUCAAAUUGUGUUACUGUGCUCUUUGUAGCUGGUGUAUUUUCUGUGGAAAUAAAUAGGAAGCAUUACUUCCUAUCUCUAGGAAGAGAGAUAGAUCUCUCUAGGGAUCUAAGUAGAUCUCUAGUAGAGAUCUAAGGUGCAAUACAUAUUAAAUUAUCUUCCUGUUUUAGAAGAGCAUAUCUCUCUCUAUAGUUAUUGCUUAUCUCAUAUUCUAUCAUAUCAUACGCUUCUAUCUAUUACUUCAAUCAGGUAGUGUUGUUGUGCUGUGUAGUCUUUACAGUGGCCUUUAGCAGACAAAUACAUGCAGACUAGAAUGUGUGUCAGCACAGGCACUUGGUUUCCCCUCUUCCUCAUUCUUGGUUCAGAAUAUAAUGGAUUGGAAAAUGAAGCAUUGCUCUAAACAAACCAUGCUGUGAUGCAGAGCUUUGCAUUUAGUUUCAGCUUGUCCUAUCUCAAAAGCUUACUAGUAACUCUUGAUGAAUAGAGUACAGUGUACAUUUACCUACAAAAAGAUAACUAACGUUCACAAGUAUUUUAAUUGUUAUUUCAAUUUUGCUUCUUUAUCUUCAGUGUGUGUAGGUUAAGGGAAUUCUAAAUUCUUUUUUUUUUUUUUUUGCAUAUUUUUUUGAAGCAGAUAACUACAUUGGCUUAUAACUUUUACUUUGAUAAUGACUGUUGUGACCAGAACAGUUCAACGUACAUUAGCAGAGCAUUUAGAAUAUUUUUAAAUGAAGUAGCCUUCAUAUCUUGCUAUCUGGUGGAACUGCUAUCACAUUGCAAUGGUAUUUUAGAAGUGAUAAGAACCUUGUUCUUGCCCCACCCAGUACAGUUGCUGGCACUUCUAAGUAUUAUACAGAUACCUGUCCUGUAGGGGCAUUUUCUCUUUUAAAAUAAAUGUAAUAGAAGUAGUUUUGGAAUCUCUGUGUACUCAUCUUCAAGACUUUUCUUUCAGGCACAAAGUAGCAUGUUUUUAUGCACCUGUUGUUGUGGAUAUCUUGUCACUUUUCCUGCUGCUGGACAGAAGGGUGGGUGGUAAGGUCUGGAUUUGGAGGACUAGCUUUUUCAUCUUUUUCUGUAUAUUUAUAUCAAGGUGUAUGGAAUUGUUAAAUGUAAGAGUUUCAACUCUGUAGUUACAGUAUCAUAGGAAAGCAGCCAGUGGUAGUAGACACUGGUAGAGAUCAAGUAAGCCACACUCUUAGCUGCAAUAAAUAGAUACAAAAGAAUAUUAGUAGCUUUAGUUAAAAACAAAAAUAACCUACAACAAACAAAACAACACAAAAACAUCAGUAUAUUUACUAGCAGUUACUUGCAAUUAGAGUAUAUAAUAGAUAUAUAUGAUAUAUAUCUAUAUAUGAUAUAUAUAUAGAUAGAUAGAUAUCAUAGAUAUAUAUGAUAUAUAACAUAUAGAAAGAUAUGUUUAAAGAGCGUUUGGAUGUUGUGUUAAGGGACAUGGUUUAGUGGGAACCAUUGCUGAAGGGCGAACGGUUGGACUGGAUGAUCCUGUGUGUCUUUUCCAACCUUAGCAAUUCUAUGAUUCUAUAUUACAGCUAUUCAUGCAAGCUAGAAUUCUAUCAACUGGAUUGAACUAUUAAGUUAUAACUAGAAUAAGCUAUGCAUACUGCAUCAUAGUUCUUUUGAGCUAAAAUUGAUAUUUUUAACCCCCUUUCUGUCAGGUUAUUACUUUCCAUUUGAAAACAAGGAUAAGAGGACACGAUUAAAGGCUUUACUGGAAGAGUUGCCAACUUUAUAUUCCUGUUCCCCCCUCCAAUUGCUUUGUGUGCCAUUUUAGUUUUUUAAUCAUCUAGUAUAACAAAGGAACUAUAAAUAUGAGUCUAUUAGUAAACAAAACUCUGAAUUUAGGCUAAAUGUGAUACUGAAUUCCUUUCCAAAGCUCUUUGCUAACAGCAAAGAGGCGAGAUAUUUGUUUGCCCAUCUAAGACUUUUAUCAUGUCUAGAUGCAAAUUUCCUGUAAACCUUUAAAAAGAAGUCUGCUGAAGGAGAGAUGUGCCUGCACUUCAGUAUGAGCCGUACCUUCAGUUCAUCCAAAUGUGAAAUCUGAGAGUAUUUGGAAAUGGAAAACAAUGGAGACAGUUCAUAUGUUACGUAAAACUUUUUGCUUGGGUUUUUAACAGCCAGGGUGAAAACUUAUUUGAAUAAGUAAGUUAAUAAAUUCUUGAAGCAGUUGUGCUUACCAGGUAAACCAGAUAACUUUAUACAGGUUAAGUUUCAUGGGAUUUACUUAAGGUCAUGCAUAAGGAACACCCACCUUCAGUUUCUGAUGACUCAUCAUGUUCACCAGGAUUCCUGUAGGUUUCACUUGGAAAUAGAUGGCCAAAUGUAAUGUUUACUGUAGUUAGAAAUGUACUUAACCCAGUUAACUUAUAAAACUCAUGACAUGCAGCAAUGUAGGUGGAGACCUGAGAUGACCCAGUGUGACUGCUUCCUUCCAUACUAGAACUGCUAUGCUGCUAUGCUGCUAAGGCUGGUGCCCAUGCUGAGGUGUAACAAGGUGAGUAGUAACUUAAUUCAGGUUGCAGUAUGAAUGUUCAUGUACUUUGGCAUUCCUUGUACCUAUAUUUCAGUGGUUUGAUCAUCAGCUGAUAAGUUUAGCAAUUACACACUGGUAACCAAUGGUGUACAAGUUCGCUAUUUUUGCUUACUCAAGAAACACAUAGGACUGAAAACAUGCAUGCCAUUCAUACUACUGUACAGACACCAUCAAACCUAUGUGAAGGAAAAAAAAAAUAACACAAAAAACAAACAAGUCAACCAAAAACAUCAUUAAUUCCUUCUAUGACUUGCCUUGUUGCUGGUCUUGAUGGAACAAAACAGCUUCUGCACAGCUAAGUGAUUUGGACCUUAUUUGGUUGGGGUUUAGUUGAAUGCCAAUGGAAUGAAAAGAUGCAGUCAUGUUAAUCUCUACUCUGCUUAUGAUGGAAUAUAAUUCUUUUGCCCCCACUAAAUAUUAAGUUUUUUACUAAAGAACUUUAAGAGCAGCCAUCUUGUACUGACAUCAGUGCAAGCUUACUCAAGAAAAGCAGUACUGUACUGUACAUUAAAAGGAAAAUUUUAAACACCAAGUAAACAAACAAACACUAAAUAAUUAUUAGGAACUCCUUGUAAUGGCUUUUUCCCUGAGUUAACACUUAACACAUAGUUAAAGGCAUCAGUGAAAGCAUAUUUCCAUAUUUAAAUGUAUACAUCAAAGUUAUUUCCACAGUAGAACAUUACAUCUCUAUAAAUGAAGUAAUAUUUUAUUGAACGCAAACAUACUAUUUCUUUCUGCAAAUAAAAUGCAUGAUGACACAUAGGAAAGAAUUGAAAAUAAGGCACAACCAAAAAAUAACUUUUCACAUUUUUUUUCUAUUUCAUCCUUAGUGGAACAAUAAAUACAGUGGCAUAGCUUCUAUUGAUCUUAUUUACAGAGUACAAUACUUGAAUGUUACUGGGUUUCCAGCCCAAAUGUUUCAUGAUGUGAGCAGGAGUAUGUGUUGCAGCAUUUCUACAGCCAAGCACUCUAGGAGAUAAUCACAAAGAAAAAAGAAAAAUACAUAGAAUAGAUGGUAACAUUUAAAUAUAAUAAUAAUGAACUGAGGGAACCCUGCAGCAGAGAAUAAAUUUGAGGCAUUUACUAAUUGAUGACAAUAGCAUUAAAAAUACACAUUCCCUUUAAUAUAUAUAACUAACAUUCUAGUAUACUAAAUGUAAGACAAGCAUUUCAGUAGCCCCCUUCAAAGUGAUACAGUAAAUGUUCACUAAAUAACAAAAGAGCAAAGAACAAGAAUAGAUAACUGUCUGCCUGUUGAAAAGAACCUCACAGCCCCCCAAAGUUUUCUUACAUUCCAGACAGUACAGGCAAUGACUACAGUAUUCCUAAAAGUAGAAAAUAAUCCGCAAGAAGAAAUCUCCGUGUAAAGAUUUGAUUUUAAUUUAUAGUGACAAAGAAAAAGAAUAAUAAAUUAAGAAACAGACUCUACUCUUAGCUAUAUAGGAACUGAAAAAGGUGAGGUAGGAAGACAAAAUAGGGAAAUUGUUUUCCAAUGCAAAAUCGAAGCUCACGAGGACAAGGGAGCGUGCCUCUCCCUGUACAGCCACAAACCUUUUUUUUUUUUUUGCAUAUCUAGCUCAAUGCGUUUCCUUUUCAAAAUUGCUUGUAGAAGCAGGAUAGGUUCUGUGGAAAAGCAGUCUCCUCCCGUAAAUUACUGUUACAAGCCUCUCUCAACAGAGGACAGUGAGCUAUUUGCAUCUAGUAUGUCAUAUUAGAAGACACAAAUUUGCAGGUUAAUUAAAUUUUAACUGCCUAGCUGAGAAGUAAACUGAAUUCAAAAUCUAAUAUCAUAUUCUCAGCUGUUAAAUGUUUUAAUUGUAACAACCCACCAGGUACCAUUGAAAUAAUUGUCAUAUAAUUUGCCGUACAGGACUGUGAAGCACUUUCCAAUAGACAAGCAUCUGCAAAGGCUUUGAUUCUCAGCUAGUACCCACUGAUUCUAAACUUGGAACUCAAAGGUUUAUACCAGUUGAUGAUCUGUUCCCACAUGUAUGCAAAGCUGCUAUACCAGAGCAGGGAUUUCCUGCACUACUCCUAUUUUCAGAACAUUGCAAAGAUUCUUAAGUAAAAACUUUAAUUAAUUAAUUAAUUUUUAAAAAAGCUUAAUUAAUUAAUUUUUUGAAAAUGAACAAGUUGAGUUGUAACCAACUUCUAAUCAUGUUGGAACAGACACCAUCAUCAGAUGCUGUGAUACAGGAUGUCCAGAUUUCACACUACUGUAGUACAGCACCCAGCUGGUUUUCAUGCGAUUUUCAUCACACAAACAGGUAGCCUUGCAGAAAGCUACUGAAAAAAGUGUUUAGAUGUGAAAGUCAAGUUCUUCAUAUAAAAAAUUAAGUACUUAGAACUGAAGUGGUUUCAGAAAAAACUGUCUUUCAGUUUUUUGACCUGCUUACCUGAUGCACAUGAUCGUUACAAUCAUUGAUAAACUCCACUAUCCACUCUUCUUUUUUUCUCCCCCAACUUUGAAGUAGACUUUUCUGAAAAAUACACCUCUAAAACAUUUUUCUACUUCUGAGCUUUUUAGAAAGACUUAUACAAAUUCAUCUCUUAUACUUGAGCAUUUUGUUUCGCUUAAUAUAACUAUUUCUUUUAAGCGUAAAGAUGUACACAGUUUGCUAUACACAUUUUUUCAAUACCUUCUCCACAACCUUCUCAUUUUUCAGUGAGACCUUUAUGAACCAGUACAGCCAAAAGAAACAACUUCCUUAAAAAGAACUAUUCUGAAUCAAGCACCUCUCAAAUAAUAUUAAAAUUCCUAAACCUUAAAGUUUUCUAAGACAAACCCUAUAUUUGAUAUUCAAUACCCCACCCCCCAAAAAAUAACAAAAAAAAAAAAGAAAAAAAAAAGAAAAAACAAACAAACAAAAAACCCAAAUUUGCUUGUUUUGCUUAAUUUGCUUGAUUAAUCUACCUCGCACAGACACUGGCUUCACAGAUAGCAAAUCAUUUGCACUGUGCUCAGUCUAGACUGCUUUUCUCUGACUAAACAAGUCACAGAUCAAAACAUUGUCCCCAAAACAAAGGAAUAAAGCAUAUUGGCCAUGGGAAUACUUAAAAGAAAAACAAAACACAACAUGGCUACAACAAAAUCUGUACAUGAUUUUUCCCAGCCAAGUAAAGUGCUUAAGCACACAGUGAAGUUCCAUCAGCUUGAAUUAAUAUCCAGAUGGAUUUAUAGGUAUACAGGUUACUAUUCUUUCUGUACUCUUUCUUACUUUUCAGUAAGGCUUCAUUACUGAUCUCAUCUGCAUUCAUAAGCUUGAGGAGGAGGAGACACUCCUGUGUAUGUGAAAACAAGUUUAAAUAAAAUUGUUCAAGGCUUGCUGUAAACUGUUAUGCUGCAAUACACAAGUAAAUAGAAUUGUAGACUUGUACUAGCAUCUCUGCUGCUUCGUUAAAAAUAGUCUGUGGUUUUUUGUUUUACAAUCAAAUGCUGGACAUAAAAUAAACCUGGACAUUCUGCUGUAACUAUUGCACCUAUUUUAACUAUUUUCCCUUGUUCAGCUUUAAGUUUGAUUAAGACAACACAGUAUGGUAUUUACACCCUAUUUUUCUAUGGGCAAAUGAAAUGGCUUCAGUACAACCCAGUCUUCAUAGAAACUUCCAAGAAAAUAUGAAAUCCUUCAUUCAUUGAUUCCCUUGGUACAAAAAAUUGCCAACUUUGUCUACAUAGUAGAAACUGAAGAGGCAACGUUUGUAUGCUUAUGUAAAUGCACAUACAUAUAUAGCUAAGUAGAUAGAUAUAUGUAUGGAUGUCCAUACUCUAUUAAUAGACAAACACAAACACAUGUAUAUAUACAUACAAAAAUGUGUUGGUUCAGUUUGCAUCAUUCAGGAGAAAAUCAUACUCCCAAGUUAGAUAGAAUCUUCUGGCCGUUAAGUCAUCAAAUCAAACUUCGAGUUCAUAAACUGUGAGGGUGAACACUGGCAUAUGCAGAGUCUUUUCAGUCAAUCAUAUAGCUUUUCAUUUUUUAGAACUACACUGUCAUGUCAUGAUAGCCCUUGCCAUUUAAAUGUUCGCUGGUGCAGUCGUGAUUGUAGUUGUAGCCUGGACCAUCACUGAUUGUCGAUACUGUAUAGGAAACAGUGCGCAUAGCAUCUGAGUGGCUGAAGCUGUGCUCAAACUGGAUUUUGUACUGAUUCCAGUGUCUUCGCAAAACAGCUUGGACCUAUGACAGGAAACAAAAACAACUGCACAUAAAACAUGUGGAAAGAUAUGUCAGACUUAAUUAUUUGACAAAUGAAUGCCAUAAUAAAUGUCUCAGUAAAUUAGGUAGUAAGGCUCAAUAAUCCUGGGUACUUAGAUGUCACAUGAGAUAUUUUCAAAGAAUUAAAAUGUAAAUAGGCAUUAUUUGUGCUUUUCACACCAAAUUUGCUAGCUUAUAGAAGGAGUAGCAGCAACAUAAUUUUCUACUUUUUCCCCUGUGGGUUGAAGUGAAAUGUGGACGGACCAGAUUUACAGUUACAAAAAGAUCAUUUCUAUUCAUCCUUAUAUUAAGGAUACAACUGUAGCAACCAUAAAUUCUCAUACAGUCCAGAAACCAUAAACAAUUUCUGCUAGUUCUGAUACAAGAAAACCUUUAUUAAUUUCUGACCACUAUUUCAUCAAAUGACUAGAAAGACAAUUUCCUGAACACUGCAUUUCUACCAGAGUUAAAAAUAAUGAUGAUAAAAUAGCUCAAGGCCCCAGCUUGUUUACAUGUCUCCACAGAAAGGAUGUUAUGUUUAUCCUGGACUUCCUCUCCUACAUUCUGCUUAAACACCUGCGCAUGUGUGACAGAUGAAGUGUCACAUUAAUUAAAUUCACAUGGGAUCAGUUUUGAGUCAAGAUGCCAAGCAAGGAAUGCUAAGAAUGGCAAUUACUACUGUGGUUUUAUUCAAAAUAUCUUUUUUGUAGUACCGGUUUUUCAAAUGAUUUCCUCUUCAGCAAAACUUUGUGCCCGAUGGCCAGCAACACUGAGAAUCUUUCCUGCAUGGAUUAGCGAAGUACUGCCUUGUAUGAAAUGCCAGCCGGAAGAUGACACUUAAAUUUAUCCAGCAGUCUACCCUAAAUCACUGGUCUCAUCAUAAAAUCAUGCCUGUUUAUUUUUUUUAAACACACAAAAUAACUAGCCUUCCCCCACUUCAAUAUUGACAUUGCAGUGGGUAAUAACUGUGUUUUCUUCACAUUUCUAUAACACGAUGGCUUUUUUUUCUAAGUUUAUUUUGUCUUUCUUUAAAUAUGAAAAGUAAAUAGAUGAGAAGGGAUGUACAUUUUAGACUUCCUGCAUGCAGUACUGACUUCUUAUCUGUCAAAACUGAUAACAAAAUAUGAAGUAUCAAAUCAGUUACAUAAGAAAUCAGUAUUUUAGUGCAAAAGAGAUACUUUUCUCCUAUGUUCAGAAAGCUAUUUUAAUCCCUUUAAAAUGUCUGAACAGAAAAUUGCCCUCCUCUGGACCCGCUCCACGUCUUUCCUGUGCUGGAGUCCUCAGGCCUGGAUAAAGCACUCCAGAUGGGGGCUCAUGAGGGGAGAGCAGAGGGGGACAAUGGGCCACCCUGCUGCUACCCCUCCUUUGAUGCAGCCCAGGAGCCUUCUGGGCUGCAAGAGCACCAGUCCAAAGACAGACCACUAAGGGACUCCACUCAUGCCUGGCCUCUACCCGACAACAACCAUCCAACAAGUUCUUUAUCCACCUAAUAAUGCAGCCUUCAAAUCUCUCUCUCUCCAGUUAAGAGAUAAGAACAUAGUGCAGGACCAUGUCAAAGGCCUUGCACCAGUCCAGAUAGAUGAUAUCAACUGCCUUUCCUUUGUCCACCACUGUCACCACUCCAUCCCUCAAAAACACAAGAGAAGCAGCAUUCUGAAAAUUCCAAAUUGUCUGAGAAGGAAGCUUAGAAUUUAUUUCUUAAUCGUAUCAGUCAAUCUUUGCAUUUCACUAAGUUCCCAUUUGUUCCAAUUCUUAUCCUUUCCAUAACAAAGUUCCUCAAUAAGAUUAGUGUCUUACUGGAGAAACAAACAAACAAAUAUCAUCAUGAAGAAUGUUCACUUUAGAAAGAAUAGACAAUAGGCACGGGAUGGGAAAACUUGAACAAUUGCAACUAAGUGGCUUAAGCAAAGUCAAAAAACCUAUUUGGCAGAGCUGGAAAAUAAACUAGAAUUGCCAGGUUGCAAACUAAACUUAUGCUGAAGACCCACUCCCACAUUUCCUCAUAGUGGCUUCAGUAAUUUGUCUUAUUUGCAACUUGUAAAUAAUAUUUGUAAAUCAAAUCGUAUCAGUCCCCAUAUCUCAAAAGAACUUUCGGAAUUCCUGCAAAACAAGUGUCUGCUGCCUAUUUCUAGGGUGAAAAUUCUCUGUUCAGUCUACUUUCUCAUCACGGACAAAUUGCUAUAAAUAAUAUUACCCCUAUUGACAAACACACGUUCCUCUAUGCCCUCCCUGGUGCCCAGCACAUCCUCUUGGUGCAUUUCUAACUAAGCCACGUACAUCUGGCAUUCUUCCAAAAGCCUUUCUGUUACUGCUGAGUCAGUAUUUCACCUCUGACCUUCUAUGUGCCUAUUCCUGUAGGGUGCUACAUCCUUUCAUUUAUUAUUACUACCUUCUGUCCAAUCAAUCAUUCAUAGAAGAUGGGAAAAAUCAAUGAGACAGCUAAUUUCCACCACUGUUUAUACUGUUAAACAGCAUGCAGCAUGCACACCUCUACACAUUAUGUGACAACAGAAGAUCUAUUACUCUUUUCCUCAACUUUGAGCAGCUGGACAGGGCUGCAGAUUCAGCUCAGGAUGGGCAGCACUGUGAGAAAAUAUUAACCAAUGUAUUUUUUUUUUUUAAGAAAUUGAUGUCACAAACCUAGUCGCAUGUCUCAUUAAUACAGAUACCAAUUCCAGCUUAAGCAUUCAUACCUCAUCACCUUACUAGUAGUGGCUCCUUCUGAUGAGCUUCAAUGACUUGCACCUUCUUUAACAUGCUAGUACUCUGAUGUUCGGUGAAACACAAAUCAAAUGGAAAAAAAGACAACAACAACAAAAACCCUUGCCUAUUAAGAAAGUUUUUUAUCAUCCUGCAGAACUGAGAUCGUAGCCUUUACUACAUUUCCAUUGACUACUGGAGUGGGGGGAAAAAUACCACUACCAAAACAAAAAAUAACCCCAAAGCCACAAACUUCACAUGGGUGAUAUAAAUCAUAAGUACAUAUUAUGAUCUGUUAAUAGGUCAGUAGGAAUCUUUCUACUUUCUUUUUACAGAGAAAGCUGCUACAAGCUUCUUCCGUUACUGCAGCCUGCAUCACCCUAAAACCAGAACGAAGCCAAUUCCAAUUGGCAAGCAUCAUGAGGUAGUCAAGAAGAAUCAUACUCUGUGGGUGCUAGGACAUAAGCAGAACAUGAGGGUCCUCAGGGAAUUCCUGCCAGAGAAGAUAAAGAUGAAGGGUUUGCAUGUAUGCCCUUAUCUGCUGUAGAAGCUGCAGCGACAGCUGUAAUGGAUGUUGGCACUGGAUUUGACAGAACAUCCCUAGCUGCACUGCCUAAUGGGUUUGGAGGUGUUUUAUGGCUACAGUCAGCAGAGCAUUCCAACACUUUUUUCUUAAAUGUUACUUAGUUUCUUUUCUCUCUGUUAGCAGAUGAUUUUUUAAUUACCUUUUUGGCCAUUGUCUGAAAGGCCUGCAGGCCACUCAUUGAACAGGAUUUAUCUCUUAAAGUUGAUAGGAAACAUUAAAAGCUACAGUAGCAUUUGGGAAAUAGUAUUUAGAUAAAGAAACUAUCACGUUUAGCAUUUUUAAUUGCUAAUACCUCACUGGAAAAUCCAUUUUCUGUUCUCAGUCUGAGUUGAUUCCAGUCUCAGGAUUCAUCUCCAAACCCCAGACUUGCUAUAGAACAUCACACAAGUGUUAACACUGAUGCCAUUUGGUAUGGCACAUAGCAAGGUGUUGCUGACAGAUGCCGACAGAAAAGGUCUUAUACACAACAGCUAAGCCACAGUAUCAGGAUUAGUUAAGGCAUUGUUAUGACAGCAACAUAUGAUAAUGGCAAUAGAACACACAUACGCCUACAGGCUCACAUGCCAGAAGUAAAAUUUUUAAUAUACUAUUUUUUUUCUUUUGUUUUUACCCAGACAUUUUUUCCUAACUGCAUUAUCAUUCUCCCCAUGAGUUUCCUUACUUGUGCAGUUGGUUAUAAAGCAACAGAUCCUCUCCCCAGCAAAGUGUAAUGAAUUGAAAAAAAAGACAAUAUUGAUAACCUGAAGCACUGCAAUCAGAGUUUAAACUUGUUUAAAAAGCCUGAAUUUCUGCUAUACAGAUAGCAAAUGGAAAGAAAUGUGUAACUGACAAAGAAAAGACACAGUCUAAAUAUUUUGUUUAAAUGUCUGAAACCACUUUUUAAAAUUAGCCUGACCAGAGAUGUUCAAGAAAUUGUUCAUCCAUUACCAACUGCAGGAGCUGCGGAGGAGCUCAUCUUAUACACUCAUCAGCCCAGGGAUAUUCUGCUAAUACUCCCUUGGUGAAACAGCUAGGUUUUGCUUUUCUUAUGCAGCAGAAGAGAGCAAUGUAAAAAACGUGAGUUUGUAAAAUGUGGGAAAUGAUCAGAUGAAACAAAAUCAUUACCAGAGGUAGGAUUAAAGUAGCCUCAGAAGACCAAGAGAGAUAAAAGGCAGAACUGAGCAGUGGACAAUAUUGUUUCAUAGAAACUCUGUAGAUUUCAAAUAUUUUUGCCCACAUUUUGCACCAAGACAAAACAAAUUUGACUUUUUUCCAAAUGACUCUUAGAAGGGAAAGAGUGUGUCAAAUAUUUGUUCUGAACAUGGGAAAGUAUCCAAACUGGAUCCAUAAUGCUUAGUGAUAUGUUCUGCUUUGAAUUGAAUAAGCAGAGACUGUAACUUGGAUCAGUUUUACCAUAAAACCAGAUCAAAACCACUGACCCAGACCUUAUAAACUGCCAAAAGAAAUAACUCUUGCUUCGUCUUUUCUGCCUCCUUAGCUAAAAAUAAUAAUAAUAAUAAUGAUAAUCACUGACACUCAUACUUUUCUUGGGAAAAAAAGUAUCUUGAAACCACAUGGAAUAUUCAUUGCAAUUCAGGCAGCUUCAGAUUUAAGAGUAAGAGGAGGAAGCAUGACCUAUUUGUAUCAAAUAUUAGCCAGAUACUUAACAAGCAAAUAUUACUGGUCCAAUAACAUUAUGUAAGAACAGAACAUGAUAAAAGAAAUUAAGGGUUCAGUCCUAUGGAAACAUCUGGUUACCCCCGCACAUCUGCUUACAGCCACAUACUGCAACUGCACUAAAUGCAGAAAAAAUGAACAAACAGAUGUGUUAGAAUAAGGACAGGAUUGUAAUUGUUCCUCUGCCAAAAGUGUUGGAAAAGCCCUACUUCUUUGGUGGGAUCUUUUUAUUCAUUUGUUUUGGUUCUUUUUUCAAGCAAGAAAAUUGCAGUGAGAAAUUUUGUGUGUGUGUAUGCAUAUGUAUUUAGCCUUUCUACCAUGUUUACCUUUAACAUUAAGGCCCUAUAAGUAUAUUCUUAAGUAUAAAGCUUAGUUGACAAGAUCUUAAUCAAUUCAAGUUAACAGAAAAAACUUAUUAGCUGCAAGGAUCAGUUCCAUAUACUAAUGAAACACAGUGCAAUUCUCUGGCACAACGAUAAAGAAGUUAGUUUAAAAAGUACACUUCUUACUCAAGAAAUUUUAACCCAAGCACAACGAGGUAUUAAGUUCUGAGUUCGUAACUAUAUUUUUCAGAUGUGCAAUUUCCUUAAUGGCUAGAAUAUACAAAAUCUGUAUAUACAAAAUAAUACAAUAAAAACUACUACUUUACCUCUCCAUUGAAGAAGCAGAAAAUUGUAGCUACCAGUAGACCCUGUAAAAUUAAGAUAACGUUCCUUAUUUCACAUGCAUGUGGAUUUUUUCAGGUUUGAAAUAAUUAGAGGUUCCUGAUACAAUUCCUAUAUGGACAGCAAACAAAAUAUUCUACAAAUCUAAAAUUUCAUUUCUAAGAAUACUCUACUAAGUAGACCAUGGCACGUUUAUUUCCUUUAGAGAAAAGAAAAUUCAGUAUACUGAGAAAACUGAAGUUUUUUUCCAGGACUAUUGCAUAAAAGUCUUCAUAAACAAAAAUAAGAGGAUAAUUUGUCCUUUAUUUGCUUCAUAUGCCAACAGCUAUUCUAGCUCAAGUAGGCAAAAAAUAUUCAAUUCCUACCUGGUAAUGCAUAAGGAUGUGCAUCACAUACUCAUAGACUUCCUCAGUGAUUCGACCUUCCGGUCGCCAUGGAAACAGCACAAAUUCAAUGCCAAGCAGGGGAACCAGAAUGAGGGUAGCUCGCACUGCUUUCAUGUACAGGUUGGACUCUGCCUUGUGGGUGUCUUUCAGCUUAGUUAUGAGUACACGAACGAUAUUUAACAGGAAGAAAAGAUUCACCUGUUGGAAACGAAAAUGACAGUGAAGCCACUCUGAAAAUAAUCUGCAGACUACUUUGUGACACUAGAAGGCAGACAACUCAAAAAGCCAUGUACUGCAUAGAAAACGUUCUGGUUAUACAAGGGCAAAAGUUAAAACUCUCUGAAAACAUCUUGAAGAGAAUGAGGCUGACUGGGUUCUGACAUCUAAUUCCAGAGCUGCUUCUUCUACCCUUAUAAGCAAGUGUCAACUCAGGUUACUCUUAUCUUCCAGUCUUUACAAUCUGUAUGUCAUUUUCUGUGCUAUUACAGAAAUAGUACAAAUCUGAAUGAUGGUUUAUUAGAGAAGUUUAAACUGCAGCUUCUGAAGAACAGAAUGUCAGUUGCUGUUUUGUAAAAAGAAUGAAUAGAAAUGAACUGCUGGCCAUGACUGAUGCACAGGUAGCUCCUUAUGGAAGACCACACGUGCAAGCCAAUAUACCCAAAGCUCUGACAACCAUUGCAAAGCUGAAGACACUUUCUAUCUUGGUUCCAGUUGCAUAUUUUAAUGGCCCCGUAUGAGCUGUAAUGAUGUUCUUUGAAGAGUUUCUGGGAAAAGCUAAGCGAAGCACAUGGAUAUCACUACAGCGUCUGUAAUCACAGUCUGAUUGAAAUUCGCUCCUAAAAAGUCAGUGAUCCGUUAGCAGUGUAGCACACACAACUUGAGCAGGUCUCUGCAGUUGAGAUCCUUACAGCAAUACAAAAAUCUGUCUCUACAUGGUUUUUCCUUGUCUGUUUAGACCUCAGUGAUCAAUUGGACCCAUCUUAGAAGCUUAAAUUUGAAAACAUAAAAGAUUUCCAUUAUCGAUGUCAUUUUAUUUUAAAAACAAUUGAAGUUAUCUUGGCCCUUCUGGCCAAAGACUUCAAUUCACUUUUACAGUUUUAAAAACAAUAACAUAAACAUAACACAGUCUUAACAUUUCAACAUAAAAAGGGGGGGGGAAAUAUCAUUCUAUUUCAAAGACCUAGGGUAAUAAUCUGAAAGGUCCUGAGCUCCACAGAAGUAAGUGAACUAUAUCAAAUCCUUAAAAUUUUAUUUUGGCAAAAUAAUUUCAGAAAGUCUCGUUUUAUACCUAAGGAAAGAAGGAACUGACCCUUUGGAUUUUAACAUGCUUCUCCAAAAAACUUUUUUUUUUUUUUUUUUUUUUAUGUUUUUCAAAUAUGAAUUUGAAAAAUCUAUAGGGAAGAAAAAGUAAAAGAAAUCUAGUUUCACAAGAAAAAAAAACACCAAAAAACCUGAAAUCACAGCUAUUCAUACUAAAUCUCAUUCAGCAUGUUAACACUCAUUAUUGACAAGAAAAGCAAUAUGUUCACAUAUGUGUGUGUGUAUAUAUAUAUGUACACAUUCAACAGUCUAAGAAUGCAAAUAACAAGAGAAACAGUAACAAUAGGGUUGUAUUUUAAUCCAUCAUGAACCAAUGGCAACCCCCUAGAUAAACUACACUCAAACCACUAAAAAACUAGAGCUAAAAGCACCCUGGAGAGAGCGCAGCCAAUCCAAGCACCUUGCCCAAGGACACAAGAGGCAAGACAAUGCUGUCUAGAUUCCCAUUAUGGAAGAUGAAGAAGUAGAGUAGUUCAUUUAUCUCCUCUUCAGAUAAUUUGUCUUUCUUGUCAACAAUUAUAUAGAGAAAAAAAGGGAAGCAGGGGAAGAAAGAAAUUAUCAGAAAGACAGAGAAGUCCUUUCUACAAUAAAUAAGAGUUCAUGGUAUAGGAAGCCUCUGCCUCUCAGCAGGACAAGUACAAAUAGGGAAGCCAUUCCAGACCAUGUGUGUCACCAUGUCCUCCACAACCCUGGCAGAAUUCCUCUCAUGUCAAUUAAGGUUUUCACGAUAAACAGCUGUGUAUUGUUACAGCAACAUGGCCUUUGACAGACAUGUUAUGUUAUUUAUAUUCUACUUACAUUCUAUUUAAAUCAUUUUAACAGGAAAUUGUUUUACAUAGGAAACUACUGCAUUAAUUUCUUCUGGAAGAUUCCAACUACCUCUUGGCUUUGUUUAAGCAACCAAGGUCUUUUGGUUCUCUCUCAAAGGAUUCAUUAAGAUUUUAUGCAGCCCACGAUUCUCAUCCAACUCCCUAUGUCACACACAGACAAAUCCAUCCUCCAUUUCUAAAUUUAAUCCUUCUCAUUUAAAUUGCUAGUUUAGUAUCAGCCUCUCUCAGAAUUUUCAACCCUCGUGCUUUGGUAGCAUAGCCAAUCCCUAUAAUACUGUCCUUAGAAUGUUAACUGAAGAUGAAAGUAGCAGUAGAUAGAAGUAAAUACUGCUCAGAAAAUUAUUUCAUUUGCAAAAUGCUGAAAUGCACAAAAUAUUUCUGAUUUUCCAUUUACUCACCGAAACAAAAAAAGCAUGAAAACAAACACAUUCAGCAUUUGCAAGUAAAUAUCAGAACAGACAGAAAGGCGAGACAAAACAUAGGAUCCACUUAAGAAGAACAGUAUGAGAGUUAGUAAAAGUACAUAUAACCAAUGUCACAAGCAUAGGGAGCACAAGAAAAUCAAAUUCUUAGUGAAGUGAGUAGGUCUUGAUUUGAGAAAGGCAGAGAGCAGAUCUUUGCAUUCAAGGACAAGUAGGCCAAUGAAACUACCUUAAGAUGGUUUAUCAUCAGAUUGAUUGUGAUGGUUUGCAAAGCCCCAAAGGAGUCCUGUUGUGCCAGCUGCAGCAUGAACACACAGAAAAGUACUGGCAGCUGCACAGUGACAUAAACAUUGUUCCAAGCAAGUGAACAAAGACAGAAACAAAGGCAGGGAAGGGAAUCCUAGAUGAAAUGUUGGAGCCUAUGCUAUGAACUUAGUAGAAUUUAUGUUCCGCCUUCAAAGUGGUUGUGAUGUGCAGUCUCUGUGACCUGCAGUUCCCAAUUUAAAAAUUCC